AUACGGAGGGGGCUAGCGUUGUUCGGAAUUACUGGGCGUAAAGCGCGCGUAGGCGGGUUGGCAAGUUGAAGGUGAAAUCCCAGGGCUCAACCCUGGAACUGCCUCCAAAACUGCCAGUCUUGAGUUCGGAAGAGGUGAGUGGAAUUCCUAGUGUAGAGGUGAAAUUCGUAGAUAUUAGGAAGAACACCAGUGGCGAAGGCGACUCACUGGUCCGAUACUGACGCUGAGGUGCGAAAGCGUGGGGAGCAAACAGGAUUAGAUACCCCAGUAGUCC
rnacentral:rRNA from 1 species